AACCCUGUGAUGAUUUGCUGGGAAGUUUGAACGUUAAAAACUCCUGCCACAUUUUUUGAAUAGACAAUUACAGAGAGGAUCUGUCUACAUUCAGGAGUGGCUACGGGAAGUAAAUCUGCUGAGGAUCUUUGUGCUGUGCCGGUAGAUGGCAGAGGUGAAACCUUUCCCCGAGAGCAGGCGUGCCUGCCAGCAGCUGCUCACAACAUCCCUUUUUUCUAGCUGUUUGAAGGUUAUGUGGGAGAGCACGCUGCAGUACCACGAUUGUGCUGUAGCUACUUCCAAUUUGUGAAGUGAGCAAAAUGCAAGAGUCUUUGUCUGAAACCCUCUCAGUGAACGGAAUGCCCCCCAAACUGAUCGCUAACGAUCUCAAAAUCCGAGGGAAAACAGACUUGCAGCGCACAUAGCCAAGAAGCAGCUGAGGCGGAAUGCUCCAGCCCAGCUCGUUACCAGCCCUCCCCUUGCAAGCAGCACUCGCUACCAAUAAAUAACCUCAGCAGAUGAAAUUCGGAAUAAUGGAGCAGAGCCUUCAGCCGCCGCAUCUCCUCGGCCCAUUGUGUUUCUCGCGUGUGAUGCUGCUCUGCCGUGCAGCGACACAAAGAGCUGCAGGACGGGUGGGGGUUCCCUGUGUCUCUGCUCCUGGGGCCGAUAAAUUUCAGCCCAUCACGAGGAGUGCCAUGAUGCGAGCACAGCGAGACGGGAAAACUCAGCAAGCGCUUGGCGUUCGCUUCGGAUUUCUGCAGCGUUCACACAUGCGCCAACGCUUCCACCAGAUGAGGACUUUCCUUCCCCACGGAUCAAAGCCCACCGGGGCAGAGCGGUACUUCCCCAACCAGAUUUGUCUGAACUGGAAGACGACCCCUGCAGCAUCACCACCUCGUCACCUCCCGCAAUUAAACACCGCUGGGCUAACGGCAUCCAGGUGGGGAGCCCCGGGCCGCGCAGCUGGAGCGGUGACAGUGACACUGGAGAACCCGGUGCAUCCUCCUCCACCGAUAAUUUCUAACUGGAGCCAGCAGCACCCCGCUGGGAUGAGAAGCAAAAUUCCCCCUGUGCUGUUACCGCCCUGGUCAGACUGGGACCGAUCCCAACUGCAGCCAGAGCCUUGGACUGGAGGACCGAACCCGCACUGCUCCGGCUGUCCAAAAUCUGUCGUGGCCGUCCGUCUGUCCGCAGGCACCUCCCCAGCCCUGCUCAGCCUCACACCUCGCGGAGCAGCUGCUGGUCCCCAGCACCGAGCUGGCUGAUGUGGGGCGAUGGUUAUGCAGAGCUGGCUGCUUCGUAAGGCCCUCGGAGGCGAGCGGAGCGCUCGGAGGAAGAGAAAAUUAUUGUUCCUGGUUUCACACUCAGCUGAGUUUCCAUUCCACGCAUUCCUCCUUACUCACUCUCCCUUAAUCACCGCAGAUGUUGACAUCAGAUACAGGCUGACGGAGCGGAGCUUAGCGAGAACAUGACUUAUGUUUGAAGAAAUUCCUCCCAGAAUAUUUCAGGCUUCUGAUUUUCGACUAUAUUUGGUGUGGAGCGAGCAGAAGCCACUCCAGCAUUGCGGGGUGCCUGGGGCUGAGGCCGCGGUGCCCAGACCGCCCUGGGAGCCGCAGGCAAAGCCCCCAACCUCGCGUUUCUCUGGGAUUUUUACCAAGAGGAAACCACCUCAUGCAGCAUUCCCGACCCCACAACCCCUCUCCUUUCUGUGCCUCAUCCUCCCCAAAGUCUCUCCCACCAGCUCCAGCACGCCCGUGGGUGCCUGCGCUGGGCCCUGUCCUCUGCCACCCACCCCUGCUGGUGCCGUGGGUGAGGGAUGGGGCGCUGGCGGCUGUCCCCGUUGGAGGUGUUUCGGGUGUUUAUUGAUCACAAGGAAAAAGUGCUCUGGGACAGGCCAGGGCCCCAAAAACCUCAUCCUCUAGGAGGCCGACACACACGGCCUGCCAAGCGUCUGCGCGUGGAAAUCUCCCACGGAGAUUUCCAUCGGAUGAAAAAUGUUUCUUUGGUGCCGCUGAGAUGAACGCAGACCUCAGGGAGGUGUGGGGGGCACCCAAGGGAGGCUGAGCCCCAGUGCGGCUGCUCGGGCACCCUCUGGGCUGGGUCAGGGACCCCGAUGCCUCCUCUGUGGCUGCCCUCACACCACGAUUUUGCCACCUCCUCAUCCUCCUGCAGGAUGCCUGGCAGCCCUCCGAGGAGCGGGGUUUGCCCCCCGGGGGCAGCGGGAGGCGCAU